rnacentral:rRNA from 1 species
AGGGGAGUUUGAUCCUGGCUCAGGACGAACGUUGGCGGUGCGCUUAAUGCAUGCAAGUCGAGGGAGAAGCAUUUGUUCCGUAAGGUUCAGAUGUGGAAACCGGCGAACGGGUGCGUAACACGUGAGAAACCUGCCCCCUUGACCGGGAUAGCCCGAGGAAACUCGGAUUAAUACCGGAUACUCUCUUUGGACCGCAUGGUCCGCUGAGGAAACAGUCCGCUGCUAGGGGAUGGUCUCGCGGCCUAUCAGGUAGUUGGUGAGGUAACGGCUCACCAAGCCUAAGACGGGUAGCUGGUCUGAGAGGACGAUCAGCCACACUGGAACUGAGACACGGUCCAGACUCCUACGGGAGGCAGCAGCAGGGAAUAUUGCACAAUGGGCGAAAGCCUGAUGCAGCGACACCGCGUGCGGGAUGACGGCCUUAGGGUUGUAAACCGCUUUCAGGAGGGAAGAAAAUGACGGUACCUCCAGAAGAAGCUCCGGCCAACUACGUGCCAGCAGCCGCGGUAAUACGUAGGGAGCAAACGUUGUCCGGAUUUAUUGGGCGUAAAGGGCUCGUAGGCGGUUCAACAAGUCGAUCGUGAAAGCCCGGGGCUCAACCCCGGGAGGCCGGUCGAAACUGUUGUGACUAGAGUUCGGUAGAGGUGAGUGGAAUUCUCGGUGUAGCGGUGGAAUGCGCAGAUAUCGAGAGGAACACCA